rnacentral:sRNA from 1 species
UGACUUAGAGCAAAGGUUAAAAACACAGCAUCCUGUGCUGCAAUGCCUUUGUGACCCACAUCCUGUGAG